CGUAUCACCCAAGACAACUUUACGGAGUUGACGAUUGACGGAGCGAAGCGACGUCAAAGCGUUCAUUAAAGUCGAGUUGGCUUAGGGAUACGUUCGUUGGGUAGGGGAGCGUUCUGUAAGCCUGUGAAGGUGUGUCGUGAGGCAUGCUGGAGGUAUCAGAAGUGCGAAUGCUGACAUAAGUAACGAUAAAGCGGGUGAAAAGCCCGCUCGCCGGAAGACCAAGGGUUCCUGUCCAACGUUAAUCGGGGCAGGGUGAGUCGACCCCUAAGGCGAGGCCGAAAGGCGUAGUCGAUGGGAAACGGGUUAAUAUUCCCGUACUUGGUGUUACUGCGAAGGGGGGACGGAGAAGGCUAUGUUGGCCGGGCGACGGUUGUCCCGGUUUAAGCGUGUAGGUGUGUGUUCCAGGUAAAUCCGGUUCACUUUAACACUGAGGCGUGACGACGAGGCACUACGGUGCUGAAGCAACAAAUGCCCUGCUUCCAGGAAAAGC
rnacentral:rRNA from 1 species